GCCGAAAUAGCUCAGCUGGCAGAGCAACGCACUCGUAACGCGUAGGUCGCAGGUUCGAUCCCUGUUUUCGGCA
rnacentral:tRNA from 1 species